rnacentral:lncRNA from 11 species
CCAUUUGAUAAUUUGGAUUCACUACUUUUCUCAAAGAAAAUAUGAUUUCUGAAGAUGAAGAGAUAGCUCAACAGGAAAAAGAGGUCUUCCUUCAUCACAAAGCACGGGAUAAAACGGAUAAACAGCGAUUGUUCCGGAUAACAUUGAUUAUAAGUGCAACUCUUCUGUCUGUUGUAUAUAUUGUUGCCUUCGUGAUAACUGCGGAUUAUCUAUCGCAUGAAAAUCAUAACAAACUAGGCCAUGAUUGUGUUUGUCCAUCAUGCCCAGAUGACUGGAUUGGAUAUAGAAGAAAAUGUUACUACUUUUCUUUGGAAAAAAGGAAUUGGACCUCAAGUCAAGACUUUUGUUCUUCA